AGCAACUCGCUGUGGUCCGCUUCUGUAGUGUGAGGAGGUGUGUUCUUUCCGUCUUUGCAAUAAGUGUUGCUGUUGCUCACUCUGGGUCCAGCUGCGUUUAUGAGCUGUAACACUCACCGCUAAGGUCCGCAGAUUCACUCUUGAAGCCAGUGAGACCACAAACCCACCAGGAGGAACGAACAACUCCAGCUGCGCCACCUUAAGAGCUGUAACACUCACUGAAGGUUUGCAGCUUCACUCCUGAGCCAGCGUAGACCAUGAACACACCGGAAGGAAGAAACUCGGAACACAUCCGAACAUCAGAAGGAACAAACUCCGGACACGCCGCCUUUAAGAACUGUAACACCGCCAGGGUCCACGGCUUCAUGCUUGAAGUUGGUAAGACCAAGAACCCACCAAUUCCGGACACGUUUUGGCGACCACGAAGGGACUUUUGCCUGUCGCUGAGCGGUGAGACCAUCGCCUAUCGCCAAGCAGGGUCCGUCAGGUUCAUCCACAGAACAUCUUGGGCUGGCAGAGUUCAGAUGGAAACCCACUCUACAAGUUGCCACAAAAAUGAACAGACUACACGGAUUUUGGGAGCUUACAGCUGAACGGGGAAAAUGUUAUGUGAUCAACACGCAACUCAUAGUCAAACAAUGUCCUAAUUGCUUUAAGAGCAGUAAGGUAGACCCUGAGUGUCAGACAGUAUGGUAGAUAGGACAGUGGGCAUUGGAGAUCUGGUCAGAAUCCUGAUUCUUCAACUCUCUCUGAGCAAAUCAACUUGAACAACUUGAACUUCUUUGAAUCUGUUUCUGACUUGUAAAAUGAAGAUAAUGUGACCUACUUAACUUUUUCCAGAUUUGUUGACAGGAUCAGGCAUACGAUUGAGUGCAAAGUACUUAAUCCAGUGUCUGGCUUAUUGUCAAAGAGAGUAUUGAUAAAGACAUUCCUCACAAGAAUAAUAGCUACCACCAUUGAUUGCUUUCUAUGUAGUAGUCACAGCACUAGACAGAACUAGGAGUCUUGCCUCAGUCAUCUCAGUGUCUUCUCUAAGCCUCUUCAUGAGAAAUCUUACAAAUCAGGUCAUUAAAAUACAGGCUUAAUAUCUUAUUCAUGUAUUUAUUCAUUCAUACAACAAAUAUUUACUGAGCAGCUCUUAAAUGCUAGGCACUGGUCUAGUCUUGGGGGACACUACAGAGAUCUCUGCCCUCAUAGAUUAGAUGUUGCUUUUUUUUUUUUUUUUUUUUUUUGAGAUUCAGCCAGGCUGGAAUGCAGUGGCGUGAUCUCGGUUCACUGCAACCUGCACCUCCUGGGUUCAAACAAUUCUCCUGCCUCAGCCUCCCGAGUAGAAGAGAUUACAGACACCCACCAGCAAACGCCUGGCUAAUAUUUAUAUUUUUAGUAGAGGAAGGGGUUUCACCAUGUUGGCCAGGCUGGUCUCGAACUCCUGACCUCAGGUGAUCCGCCUGCAUCGGCCUCCCAACAUGUUGGGAUUACAGGCAUGAGUCACCGUGUCUGGCCAGAUAUUGCAUUUUAAUGGAGUAAACAGACUAUAAAACAGUUGUAUUACUUGGAUGGUGGUUCAAACAGAAGGAAAUCUCUGAGAUGACCCUCAGGUUUUAAUCUUGAUGUUUUUACCUGAUAAUCAAGAUCUGGCUUUGCUCAAGGAAUCUACUCCAUAUUUACCCUCUGAGUUCUGAGAUGAUUCUUUUCUCCUGGAGUUCAUAAUCAUGUCACAAAUGCCACAUUUAUCAAUACAUGUGAUUUAAGGUCCCAUAUCAUCUCUUUGAAAAAAACUUGCUUGGAGAUUCUGUGCUUGUUCAUGCUUCCCAAUUCAGUCCAUGCAUCCAAUCCAAUUUUAAAUGUCUUCUCUUCUGGGAAACUGUCCUAAGUCCUUUAGGUCUCCCCUGAUCCUAGUACAGACUUAUGUCUGUCAUAGCAGUAAGCCUUCAAUAUCCCAAUUCGUUGUUUAUGUAUCUCCCUCCUUACUGUUCUCUGUGUUUCUUGAAGGCAAGGACCGUCUUUUAUUUAUUCCCUUUGUAUCCCCAGAAUCUAGCACAUAUAGCACUCCAUUUUUUUAAGCUGAUGAUGAAGAAAAAGACCAAUAAAAGAUC
rnacentral:lncRNA from 1 species